rnacentral:rRNA from 1 species
GACGAACGCUGGCGGCGUGCUUAACACAUGCAAGUCGAACGGAAAGGCCCUGCGUUUGUGGGGUGCUCGAGUGGCGAACGGGUGAGUAACACGUGAGUAACCUGCCCUUGACUUUGGGAUAACUUCAGGAAACUGGGGCUAAUACCGGAUAGGAUCUCCUGCUGCAUGGUGGGGGUUGGAAAUUUUCGGCGGUUGGGGAUGGACUCGCGGCUUAUCAGCUUGUUGGUGGGGUAGUGGCUUACCAAGGCUUUGACGGGUAGCCGGCCUGAGAGGGUGACCGGGCACAUUGGGCCUGAGAUACGGCCCAGACUCAUUCGGGAGGAAGGAGUGCGGAAUAUUGCCAACUGGCGGAAGCCUGAUGCAGCAACGCCGCGUGCGGGAUGCCGGCCUUCGGGUUGUAAACCGCUUCCGCUUGUGACGAAGCGUGAGUGACGGUAAUGGGUAAAGAAGCACCGGCUAACUACGUG